rnacentral:rRNA from 1 species
UACGGAGGGGGCUAGCGUUGUUCGGAAUUACUGGGCGUAAAGCGCACGUAGGCGGCUUUGUAAGUUAGAGGUGAAGGCCCAGGGCUUAACCCUGGAAUUGCCUUUAAGACUGCAUCGCUAGAAUCGUGGAGAGGUGAGUGGAAUUCCGAGUGUAGAGGUGAAAUUCGUAGAUAUUCGGAAGAACACCAGUGGCGAAGGCGACUCACUGGACACGUAUUGACGCUGAGGUGCGAAAGUGUGGGGAGCAAACAGG